UUAAGAGCCAUUUCCCCUUGCAAAAACUUUUAAUACAACUCCGAAUGAGAAAGAAAUGCAUACAGCUGUCUAGUCGCAGUGUGACCCUAAAUGUUGUCCAAAUCCUGUGGUAACAAGCCUGAACGUAGUUAAAGCAAGCAAAACAUUUUGGGGAACCAUGCCAAAUGAGGGGAAACAGCAGUUGCUAAACAAUGCUUUGGAUGUCGAAAAGUGCAAAGACGAGCCAUUGGCAACUGCAUAUAACACAACGCUAAAACGAUCAGACCUGUCCUGUCUGGGACUGGAAAAAGACAUUGAGGGAACGGUCUGAUGAAGAAAGACGGGCAACAAAAAGACAAAUGAGGCAUACUGAAAAGAAUGCACAAAAGGCAAGCAUGACUGCAGAGUUGCAACUUUUGGAUUUACCCAUGGAGGUCUUGGAGAUGAUACUCCUUGAAGUAGUGCUACAGGAUGGAGAUGCUACCUACAUGAAUAUGUCU